rnacentral:lncRNA from 1 species
GUGUGGAGAUAUUGACAUGGCAUGCAAGUGAGACGUAGGUGUAUAUUUCACUAAACAUUAUCUACUGCGAAGUACUCUACUGUCAAGAGUAGCUCGCGAAGGAUAUGGAUAUAAGUGUCCCUCCGACCUAAGAUCACCAUGGUGACUUGCAAGCAACUCACUAUACUUUGGUGCCAAACUAUCUGAAUUUCUAAUUUAGUGA